CGGACGGGUGAGUAACGCGUGGGUAACCUGCCUUGUACAGGGGGAUAACAGUUGGAAACGGCUGCUAAUACCGCAUAAGCGCACAGCAUCGCAUGAUGCAGUGUGAAAAACUCCGGUGGUAUAAGAUGGACCCGCGUUGGAUUAGCUAGUUGGUGAGGUAACGGCCCACCAAGGCGACGAUCCAUAGCCGACCUGAGAGGGUGACCGGCCACAUUGGGACUGAGACACGGCCCAAACUCCUACGGGAGGCAGCAGUGGGGAAUAUUGCACAAUGGGCGAAAGCCUGAUGCAGCGACGCCGCGUGAGCGAAGAAGUAUUUCGGUAUGUAAAGCUCUAUCAGCAGGGAAGAUAAUGACGGUACCUGACUAAGAAGCACCGGCUAAAUACGUGCCAGCAGCCGCGGUAAUACGUAUGGUGCAAGCGUUAUCCGGAUUUACUGGGUGUAAAGGGAGCGCAGGUGGUGCGGCAAGUCUGAUGUGAAAGCCCGGGGCUCAACCCCGGUACUGCAUUGGAAACUGUCGUACUAGAGUGUCGGAGGGGUAAGCGGAAUUCCUAGUGUAGCGGUGAAAUGCGUAGAUAUUAGGAGGAACACCAGUGGCGAAGGCGGCUUACUGGACGAUAACUGACACUGAGGCUCGAAAGCGUGGGGAGCAAACAGGAUUAGAUACCCUGGUAGUCCACGCCGUANACGAUGAAUACUAGGUGUUGGGAAGCAUUGCUUCUCGGUGCCGUCGCAAACGCAGUAAGUAUUCCACCUGGGGAGUACGUUCGCAANAAUGAAACUCAAA
rnacentral:rRNA from 1 species